GUACUGGAAUGACUUUACCUUUAAAUUUUAUUUUUCCUUAUCUAAGUAGGUUUUGAAAGGAAGUACUGAUAGUCGACAAUCAUUUCUUAGUUUUCUCUUUCAGUUAUUUUUUUCUGAAUAUGUUAGUUAUUUGAACUAAUCGAAUAUUGAAUAUAUUUGUUGGUGAAGUCAAGAUUUCAAUUCAACCUUUCAAUAUUUGUACGAUACAUAUUCGAUAGUCGUUAGCUCAUACUUGGGACUGUCCGUGAAACUUUAAAAAUUUGUUGCAUAUUCUGUUACAUAGCUAAGUAUUGCAGUCGCUAAGAAACAACUUUAUAGGUUGGUUUUUUUGGAUUUAAUAGAUGAGUUUUUGGUGCCUUGUGAACUGCUUUUAUGCAGUUUCAAGUGAUUAUUUACAUGGCUAUUCUUUAUUUAUUAUCGUGGUGGGUCGAUGGAGUUUAAGGGUGGUUUUAAUGGAAGUUUAGAGGUGAUUCAUGGUUGGUCUGCAGCAACUAUGGUGGUUUUAGAGCUGCAUUUUUAAGGGGUUCAGGUGACCUUUCGGAUUUAUUUUGUGUGGAGAUUUUCGCUGCGUUUUUUUCAUGGUUGAUUUGACAAAAUCUUUACAAAGUUGCUGCAUAUUUUGUUAAACAACUAAGUGUUGCAGUUGCUAAGAAGCAAAUUUAUAGGUUGUCGUGUUGUAUCGAUGGAGUUUAAGUGUGAUUUUAAUGGAGGUUUAUAGGUGAUUCAUAGGUGGUUUCCAGCAACUAUGGUGGCUUUAGAUCUGCAUUUUUAAGAGGUUUAGGUGACCUUUCUGACUAUUUUUUUUUUGUGCAGAUUUUCGCUGCGUUUUUCUUUUGAUUUUCAUGGUUGAUUUGACAACAACUAUGAAAAGCAGAAUUUGUGCAAAUACUUCGACGUCUAAGCAUUAGGUUCUCUAGAGGAAGCACAAAAUACAAGGGAGCGACGAUGCACAAAUAUGGACAAUGGGAAGCUCAGUUUUUGCACUUUCUCAGUAAGAAGGCGUACGAUAAGACUGCUAUAAAGUGCAACAGAAGGAAGGCAAUUACUAAUUUUGAAUUGACCACAUAUGAAGGGGAAUUAAGUUCAGAUGUCGAUAAUAGAGGCAAUCACUUUAUUUAAAUGGUACAGUUGCAGAAAGAUGGACUAGCAAUCAUCCUUUCACUUUUCAUUGGUUGCUUCUAGCGUACUAUUCUUUCAGCGUUGGUUGAUCAUAUCCUUGAUGAAGAAAGGACUGGAAAGACAAUUGCAAAAUAUUGGAUGGUUUACUGGAGAUUCAUCUUCUCCAGUAAAUCACAUCUAUUCUUUAAUAUCGGAUAGACUCCAUAUGCUACUAGCAGCUUUUGUGGUUACAAGAUUAUGACCAGACUAUUGCCUCCAAUAGAGCAGACUAUAAUGAAGUAGUUCUUAUCCAAUUCAACCCUGAUAUUUGAGGUAUUUAAUAAUUCUAUUGAUGGUAAUUCCAGUAAGUUGGUCGAUUUAUUUGAUCAAUUAAUGUAGAAGCAUACUUUAACUCCUUAUGGAUUAGUAGGAGUAUUUAUUUGGUCUCUCUUUAAAAAAAAAAUUUGUUGUCGGGCAACUUAUUAAAAGGAAGUAGCAAGCCGUUGGAUAUAUUAGCAAAGUUAGAUGAGUUAGAUAGUUUUUCGCCUUACGAAGAAAUUAAACUUUUUUUAGGUUGAUUCUUCUUCUUCUUCUGCUAAGUUUUUAACUCAUAAUGAGGAACAACCAUUUUACCGAUCAAAAACAAGACCAAAUAUUUCACGCUCAAGCCCAUUUUUAACAAGUCACUUGGGAUUGGUAGUCCUUGCCAACAAUAAUAUAGAGACAGCCCGUUGAAAU